rnacentral:rRNA from 1 species
AGUGAACGCUGGCGGUAGGCCUAACACAUGCAAGUCGAACGGCAGCACAGUAAGAGCUUGCUCUUACGGGUGGCGAGUGGCGGACGGGUGAGGCAUACAUCGGAAUCUACUUUUUCUUGGGGGAUAACGUAGGGAAACUUACGCUAAUACCGCAUACGACCUACGGGUUAAGGUAGGGGAUCUUCGCACCUUGCGCGUUUGAAUGAGCCGAUGUCGGAUUAGCUAGUUGGCGGGGUAAAGGCCCACCAAGGCGACGAUCCGUAGCUGGUCUGAGAGGAUGAUCAGCCACACUGGAACUGAGACACGGUCCAGACUCCUACGGGAGGCAGCAGUGGGGAAUAUUGGGCAAUGGGCGAAAGCCUGAUCCAGCCAUACCGCGUGGGUGAAGAAGGCCUUCGGGUUGUAAAGCCCUUUUGUUGGGAAAGAAAAGCAGCAGGUUAAUACCCGGCUGUUCUGACGGUACCCAAAGAAUAAGCACCGGCUAACUUCGUG